AGAAAAAAAAGAAAAGAGAAGAAACAUAAAAACUGCCUCGGUGAGAGUAGAAAAAACGAUCAAACCACAAAAAAAAAGCCUUUAAUCUUCUCCUUUGUGUAUCAGUCAUCCAAAUUCAAAACUCUGAUCGUCUUCUAGAAAAAACUCAAGCAAUGAUCGAUCUAGCCUGGUCAGGCUGCUGCGUCAAAUGUCGAUCCUUUUCAAUAACCGCAACAGUAUCAGGAGGUACUUCUUCAACCCAGCAUUGAGAGUUCCCUAUUUUGAAACCCAUCCUUGCUAUUGUAUGAGCAACUAAGUUAGAUUCUCGAUCUGCAUGUUGAAAAGAAAUAUAAUCAAAAUUAAGAGCCAUUAUUCUAUUUUCUUUAACAUAAACCCCAAUCGCAGAUCUAUCCAAUACCCCUUUGCACCUUUACGAUUAUCGUUCUAGAAUCUCCUUCCACUACCACCUUCCGGAAUCCCAUAUCUCUAGCAAAAGUAAUGGCAUGCAAGCAUGCCAAGGCCUCAGCUGCGAAAGCAUCUGCGACAUGACUAUAGAGAACCACUCCACUCCCCAUAACCAAUCCCAAAUUGUUCCUGAUGACAACACCAGAACUGCACUGCUUUAAACGUUGGCAAAAUGCCGCAUCAAAAUUCACCUUCACCGCCCUUCUAUCUGGGUGUAGCCAUUUGGACGACAUCAGCCUCUAUUUAAUAGGACCACAUUCUAGAAUAGCAUGUAAAAUUGAUUCUGAACAGUGACCAUAUCUCGGACAAGUUGGAGCAGAGGCAAUUUUUUGAUCGUACAAAAUAUGGGAAGUGGGUAUAGAAUUAUGCAUCAUUCGCCAUGUAGUGAUUUUACUUUUGGUUGGGAUAUCCAAUAGCCGUAGUUUUCUGUAAGUUUCAGUAUUUUACUUUAAGCGACGAUUACUCACACAGGUAGAACGGGUGAGAUGCGACAUUGGGGAGGAAAAGUGUUGCACGGUUUGUGGCACCGCUUUAGAGGACAUCUUCCACGCCCUUGGGGAUUGUGUUGCGGCUAAAGGCGUUUGGUCGAAAAUUAUACCAAUUGACAAGCAACACAGUUCUUUUCAAGUGAUUUAAAGGAAUUUUUUGCGUCAAAUUUCAGAAACAAUUAUAGUUUUUCUUAGUUUUUUUUUUCAAAAAUUACCGAAAUUGACCCAUUAUUUAAUUAUUUACCGGAAUGAUCCAUUUUUUGCGAAAUCGCGUUCACGUUAGCGCGAUGUCAGGGUAUGCGUCAGGAUGCGCUGACGUGGACGCGAUUUCGGCCUGCGCAUGAACAGUACCCAACAGUCAAAAAUUUGACCGUUGCCCUCCAAACAGUCAAAAAAAAACUAUAAAUACCCUCACCCCUUUUUAUUUUUUCACAAACAAAUCUUCUCUCAUAUUUCCUCUCAAUUUCCUCUCAAUUUCUUUCCAAAAUUCUCUCAAUUUCCAUUCAAAAUUCUCUCAAAUCCAUAUUUAAUUUCAAUUUCCUUUUUUAAAAUAAUUUUAAAUUUUUUUAUAUUUUUAUAAAUCGUAAAAAUUUGUACGAUUUCAUCAAUGACCGGAUCAUUGACUCGUCUUAAUAAGCAUCACAUAUCGGUGGAACAAAUGAAAAUAUCUGUAGAUCGAGUAUUGGAAUGCAAUAUCCGGAAUAUGCAUGCUCCUCCAUCACCGUUGGUAGAGAACUACCUGCGGGAAGUGGGUUUUUGGCACGUAGCGACGGUAGGCCGGGGAUGCAGUUGGACCCAAA